AAUAAAAAAAUAUUGUUAUCAGUGUUGAAAAUAGUUGCACUGCAUUAUUUGCCAGCAGUCAUAUCACCCUGCAGCCCAAGACUGGUUGCCCACUGAAGCUAAGCAGGGUUGAGCCUGGUCAGUACCUGGAUGGGAGGCCUCCUGGGAAAACCAUGUAGCUGCUGGAAGAGGUGUUAGUGAGGCCAGCAGGGGGUGCUCACCUUGUAGUCUGUGUGUGCCCUAAUAGCCCAGUGUAGUGACAGAGACACUAUACUGACUAAAAGCACUGUCUUUCAGAUGAGAUGUUAAACCGAGGUCCUGACUAUCUGUGGUCAUUAAAAAUCCCAGGAUGUCCUUCAAAAAAGUUUAGGGGUGUAACCCUGGCAUCCUGGCCAAAUUUACUCAUUGGCCUCUGACCAUCAUGGCCUCCUAACCAUCCCCAUAUCUGCUGAUUAGCUCCAACUCUCUGUCUCCUCUUCACCAAUAAGUUGGUGUGUGAUGGGUGCUCUGGCGCAAUAUGGCUGCCGUCACAUCAUCCAGGUGGAUGCUGCACACUGGUGGUGUUUGAGAAGAUUCCCUCCUUCUAUGUAAAGCACUUUGAGCGCUCAGAAAAGCACUAUAUAAAUGUAAGGAAUAAUUAUUAUUAUUUGUUUGUUAUGUUUAUGGAAAAUGUGAUACAUAUUUUUUAGGAUUCUUUACUGUAUAGAAAGUUUAAAAGUAGCAAUAUUAAGCUUACUACUGUAAAUUACAUUAAUCUCAAUGUAAACUGUCUUAUAUUUAUUAUAGCAACAUAUCAGACCAGGCUUUAGAGCAUUCCUUUAACUUUCUGUCAUCUUCUUUAGUGCCACCCACUCUCUUCUGGAACUACAUGGAAGACACUCGAACAACACUGCAGGAAAUGAAGAGGAGAGACUUGGCAACAAAUGCGACAUGGUAACAUGCAGAAAGGAUAUAGAGGUGAAUGGAAUGGAAAAUGCGGGAAACAUGAAAGGUGAUACCCGCGUACAGACUGUUUCAUCUGCUGAGUGCGGCGAGAUGGAGCUUUGGGACACCAAACUACAUAACAUUUCAUAAGAAACACUGAGAAGGAGAGAGACUCCUGACUGAUAUUUUCACAUUAACACCUGUGGUGAACAGUUUGCAAUAAACCAAAACUGAAAAGAGUGUUGUAUUUUGAG
ensembl:lncRNA